rnacentral:rRNA from 1 species
GAUGAACGCUAGCGGCAGGCUUAACACAUGCAAGUCGAGGGGUAGAAGGAGCUUGCUCCUUUGAGACCGGCGCACGGGUGCGUAACGCGUAUGCAAUCUACCUUUUGCAGAGGGAUAGCCCAGAGAAAUUUGGAUUAAUACCUCAUAGUAUGUGAGGAUGGCAUCAUUUUCACAUUAAAGUCACAACGGCAAAAGAUGAGCAUGCGUCCCAUUAGCUAGUUGGUAAGGUAACGGCUUACCAAGGCUACGAUGGGUAGGGGUCCUGAGAGGGAGAUCCCCCCACACUGGUACUGAGACACGGACCAGACUCCUACGGGAGGCAGCAGUGAGGAAUAUUGGACAAAUGGGCGCAAGCCUGAUCCAGCCAUGCCGCGUGCAGGAUGACGGUCCUAUGGAUUGUAAACUGCUUUUGUACAGGAAGAAACACUACUUCGUGAAGUAGCUUGACGGUACUGUAAGAAUAAGAUCGGCUAAACU